rnacentral:rRNA from 1 species
GAGAUUCCCCCAGUAGCGGCGAGCGAACGGGGAGCAGCCCAGAGCCUGAAUCGGUGUGUGUGUUAGUGGAAGCGUCUGGAAAGGCGUGCGAUACAGGGUGACAGCCCCGUACACAAAAAUGCACAUACUGUGAGCUCGAUGAGUAGGGCGGGACACGUGGUAUCCUGUCUGAAUAUGGGGGGACCAUCCUCCAAGGCUAAAUACUCCUGACUGACCGAUAGUGAACCAGUACCGUGAGGGAAAGGCGAAAAGAA